CGGCAUCCUACACAAAGAGAUUCAACCAAGGCAGGAAGACCCAACCUGAAUGUGUGUUCACAGUCACAUUGACAAGGGCUCCCACUCCCUACUGAGUAAGCAGAAGAUAUGACUAUUUAAUAGGAGCAAAUGGACAGUGGCAACAUGUCCACUACCUAAGUUUAGAAAAACAGGCAAAGAAAUGAAGUUGAUGACCAGUGUCCUCUUCAAGAGCAGCUCUGUCGCUGUGUGGCAGUUUCCUUUGGGUUAAUCUCAAUGUAUCAUCAAGAGCAGCAAGUGAAUACCCAGAGCAUGUGUGAAGAGCUGAGAACUGAUUGCAGUUUUGCAUCCAGGAACUAAGCACCCUUUGG